AACGAACGCUGGCGGCAUGCCUAACACAUGCAAGUCGAACGAAGCCUUCGGGCUUAGUGGCGCACGGGUGCGUAACGCGUGGGAAUCUGCCCUUCGGUUCGGAACAACAGUUAGAAAUGACUGCUAAUACCGGAUGAUGACGUAAGUCCAAAGAUUUAUCGCCGAAGGAUGAGCCCGCGUAGGAUUAGCUAGUUGGUAAGGUAAAAGCUUACCAAGGCGACGAUCCUUAGCUGGUCUGAGAGGAUGAUCAGCCACACUGGGACUGAGACACGGCCCAGACUCCUACGGGAGGCAGCAGUGGGGAAUAUUGGACAAUGGGCGAAAGCCUGAUCCAGCAAUGCCGCGUGAGUGAUGAAGGCCUUAGGGUUGUAAAGCUCUUUUACCAGGGAUGAUAAUGACAGUACCUGGAGAAUAAGCUCCGGCUAACUCCGUGCCAGCAGCCGCGGUAAU
rnacentral:rRNA from 1 species